rnacentral:rRNA from 1 species
UAACACUUUUUACAGUUACCGAACAAGUCUANCCAUGCCGAACACAGAAGUUAAGCCCUAGAACGCCGGAAGUAGUUGGGGGUUGCCCCCUGUGAGAUAGGGAAGUCGCUUAGCU